rnacentral:rRNA from 1 species
GUGACCUCAAAUCAGGUAGGACUACCCGCUGAACUUAAGCAUAUCAAUAAGCGGAGGAAAAGAAACUAACAAGGAUUCCCCUAGUAACUGCGAGUGAAGCGGGAAAAGCUCAAAUUUAAAAUCUGGCAGUCUUUGGCUGUCCGAGUUGUAAUCUAGAGAAGUGCUAUCCGCGCUGGACCGUGUACAAGUCUCCUGGAAUGGAGCGUCAUAGAGGGUGAGAAUCCCGUCUUUGACACGGGCUGCCAGGGCUUUGUGAUACGCUCUCAAAGAGUCGGGUUGUUUGGGAAUGCAGCUCAAAAUGGGUGGUAAAUUCCAUCUAAAGCUAAAUAUUGGCGAGAGACCGAUAGCGAACAAGUACCGUGAGGGAAAGAUGAAAAGAACUUUGGAAAGAGAGUUAAACAGUACGUGAAAUUGCUGAAAGGGAAACGCUUGAAGUCAGUCGCGUUGUCCAGGGAUCAACCUUGCUUUUGCUUGGUGUACUUUCUGGUUGACGGGUCAGCAUCAAUUUUGACCAUUGGAAAAAGAUUAGGGGAAUG